GCACUGGUGGUUCAGCAGUAGAAUUCUCGCCUUUCAUGUAGGAGACCCAGGUUUGAUUCCCAGCCAGUGCA
rnacentral:tRNA from 1 species